AAGAAAUUCCCUAGUACUGCGAGUGAGCGGGAACAGCUCAAUUUAGAAUCUGGCGGCUUUGGACGUCCAAGUGGAAGGGAAAAAGUGUUUUCCGCGUGGGACCGUGUAUAAGUCUCUGGGAAUAGAGCGUCAUAAAGGGGGAGAAUCCCGUCUUUGACACGGACUACCAAUGCUUUGUGAUACACUCUCAAAGAGUCGAGUUGUUUGGGAAUGCAGCUCAAAAUGGGUGGUAAAUUCCAUCUAAAGCUAAAUAUUGGCGAGAGACCGAUAGCGAACAAGUACCGUGAGGGAAAGAUGAAAAGCACUUUGGAAAGAGAGUUAAACAGUACGUGAAAUUGCUGAAAGGGAAACGCUUGAAGUCCUUCGCGUUAGCUAGAACUCAACCAGGCUUGCUUGGGGUAUUUUCUAGUUAACGGGCCACCAUCAGUUUUGACCGCAGGAAAAGGGCCAGGGAAAUGUGCCAUCUUCGGAUGUGUUAUAGUCUCUGGACGUAUACUGUGAUUGGGACUGAGGACCGCACCACGCGCAAGCUGUGCUUAGGAUGCUGGCGUAAUGGCUUUAAACGACCCGUCUUGAAACACGGACCA
rnacentral:rRNA from 1 species